rnacentral:rRNA from 1 species
GACGAACGCUGGCGGCGUGCCUAAUACAUGCAAGUCGAACGCAGUGGGGACGGGUGAGGAACACGUGGGUAACCUCCCAUCAGAGGGGAUAACACUUGGAAACCGGUGCUAAACCGAUACUGAUGGAUGGACCCGCGGUGCAUUAGCUAGUUGGGGAGGUAACGGCUCACCAAGGCCACGAUGCAUAGCUGGCCUGAGAGGAUGACCGGCCACACUGGGACUGAGACACGGCCCAGACUCCUACGGGAGGCAGCAGUGGGGAAUAUUCGGCAAUGGACGAAAGUCUGACCGAGCAACGCCGCGUGUGUGAAGAAGGUUUUCGGGUCGUAAAGCUCUGUUGUUAGAGAAGCGGUAUCUAACCAGAAAGCAACGGCUAACUACGUGCCAGCCGCCGCGGUAAUAC